rnacentral:ncRNA from 1 species
UCAAAGGCUUUGAACGGUAGUAGUAAAUGGUUGCUUAUUUGCAGAGAGUCGAUGGGUGGUGCGAAUCGACAAUAGAGACUGUUGAAUCCGACCGGGAGCUGUGCAGGGGUAAAAACCUGCGCCGGAAUUUUCCGUUAUCAAAUCGAGGCUGCAGUAGCAGUAAAAAAAGGUGGUACCACGUGGAUGUUGAUCUCCGUCCUUUAC